rnacentral:rRNA from 1 species
UACCAGCACCCCGAGUGGUCGGGACGUUUAUUGGGCCUAAAGCAUCCGUAGCCGGUUCUACAAGUCUUCCGUUAAAUCCACCUGCUUAACAGAUGGGCUGCGGAAGAUACUAUGGAGCUAGGAGGCGGGAGAGGCAAGCGGUACUCGAUGGGUAGGGGUAAAAUCCGUUGAUCCAUUGAAGACCACCAGUGGCGAAGGCGGCUUGCCAGAACGCGCUCGGACGGUGAGGGAUGAAAGCUGGGGGAGCAAACCGGAUUAGAAACCCCCAG